rnacentral:rRNA from 1 species
UACGUAGGCAGCAAGCGUUGUUCGGAAUUACUGGGCGUAAAGCGUGUGUAGGCGGUUCUCUAAGUCGGAUGUGAAAUCCCUGGGCUCAACCCAGGAAGUGCACUCGAAACUGGAGGGCUAGAGUAUCGGAGAGGUUGGUGGAAUUCUCGGUGUAGAGGUGAAAUUCGUAGAUAUCGAGAGGAACACCGGUGGCGAAGGCGGCCAACUGGACGAAUACUGACGCUGAGACACGAAAGCGUGGGGAGCAAACAGG